ACAAGCUGCAGUGAUCCAAACAGCAGAACCGGGCCGAGGUUUUCUCAGAGUUCUGGAGCUGUUGAUCCGAACCACGCUGACAGAACCCAAGACUGGACCCCGCAGAGUCAUCUGGACGGGUUCGGACUGCCGUUGAUAAAGUUACACAGUCAAAACUUCCAUUUUGGCCAUUUUGCGCGUCAUAAGAGGGAAAAUGGAGGAGUCAAAGUUUUCUGACCCAGUUUGUUUACCGAUGAAGAUCUGCUGAUUGGUUGCAUAGACAGGAAGUCACCACUGCAUCACUUCCUCCUCCCAGGACGCUGAAACCAGCAGCUGCAGCUGCUCCACGGUUCGCUGCAGCUCCUGGUUCUGAGCCGAGCACGCCGCUGCCCUGAAGAAAGAACCAGAACAAGACCGGAUCAGAACCAUUAAGAUGGUAGCGAGGUCAGGCCACGAGGGGCGCUGUCAGUCAGCUCACAAGUUACCAUGGCAUCACAAGGAUUGUACCUCGUGUGACCCUGUGGCGCCCCCUGCUGGCC